UAGGGAAUCUUCCACAAUGGACGCAAGUCUGAUGGAGCAACGCCGCGUGAGUGAAGAAGGUUUUCGGAUCGUAAAGCUCUGUUGUUGGUGAAGAAGGAUAGAGGCAGUAACUGGUCUUUAUUUGACGGUAAUCAACCAGAAAGUCACGGCUAACUACUUGCCAGCAGCCGCGGUAAUACGUAGGUGGCAAGCGUUGUCCGGAUUUAUUGGGCGUAAAGCGAGCGCAGGCGGAAUGAUAAGUCUGAUGUGAAAGCCCACGGCUCAACCGUGGAACUGCAUCGGAAACUGUCAUUCUUGAGUGCAGGAGAGGAGAGUGGAAUUCCAUGUGUAGCGGUGGAAUGCGUAGAUAUAUGGAAGAACACCAGUGGCGAAGGCGGCUCUCUGGUCUGCAACUGACGCUGAGGCUCGAAAGCAUGGGUAGCGAACAGG
rnacentral:rRNA from 1 species